rnacentral:rRNA from 1 species
GAACAAAAAUUUAACCCCCCGGGGGCCCCCCGAAAAAUUAUUGGGGUUUCCCCCCUUAAGCACCCAAAAAACCCCCCUUGGGAAAACCCUUCCAAAAUUUUACCAAAGAUUUAGGGGGCCCCCCCAAAAGGGGGAACCUUGGUUAAUUAAAACCCAAAAACCCUUCCCAGGUUUUUAAACCCGUUUUGCCCUGGAAAAAAAGUUUCCCUUUGGGGCCACGGUUAAAAGGUGUGAUGGUUGUUGGCACUUCGUGUCGUAAAUGUUGGUUAAGUCCGCAAGAGUGAACCUGUUUUAAGUGCAUUAUUAAGUUGGCCCUCUAAGGGACUGCCGGUGCAACCGGAGGAAGGUGGGGAUCGUCAAAUCAUCAUGCCCCUUAUGACCUGGGCUACACACGGUGCUACAAUGGCGAUACAACGGUUGCCAACUCGCGAGAGGGAGCUAAUCCGAUAAAGUCGUUCUCAGUUCGGAUUGUAGGCUGCAACUUCGCCUACAUGAAGCCGGAAUCGCUAGUAAUCGCGGAUCAGCAUGCCGCGGUGAAUACGGUUCCCGGGCCUUGUACACACCGCCCGUCACACCACGAGAGUUUGUAACCCCGAAGUCGGUGAGGUAACCUUUGGACCAGCUCAUUAUUCAA